rnacentral:rRNA from 1 species
CGGGUGGUAAUGCCGGAUGCUCCGACUCCUCGCAUGGGGUGUCGGGAAAGAUUUCAUCGGUAUGGGAUGGGGUCGCGUCCUAUCAGGUAGUCGGCGGGGUAACGGCCCACCGAGCCUACGACGGGUAGCCGGCCUGAGAGGGCGACCGGCCACAUUGGGACUGAGAUACGGCCCAGACUCCUACGGGAGGCAGCAGUGGGGAAUAUUGCACAAUGGGCGCAAGCCUGAUGCAGCGACGCCGCGUGCGGGAUGACGGCCUUCGGGUUGUAAACCGCUUUUGAUCGGGAGCAAGCCUUCGGGUGAGUGUACCUUUCGAAUAAGCACCGGCUAACUACGUGCCAGCAGCCGCGGUAAUACGUAGGGUGCAAGCGUUAUCCGGAAUUAUUGGGCGUAAAGGGCUCGUAGGCGGUUCGUCGCGUCCGGUGUGAAAGUCCAUCGCUUAACGGUGGAUCUGCGCCGGGUACGGGCGGGCUGGAGUGCGGUAGGGGAGACUGGAAUUCCCGGUGUAACGGUGGAAUGUGUAGAUAUCGGAA